CGAACAAGUACCGUGAGGGAAAGAUGCAAAGAACUUUGAAAAGAGAGUUAAAUAGUACCUGAAAUUGCUGAAAUGGAACCGAUGGGAGGCAGUGUCAUCCUUGGUAUUUUUUAUGGCUCUGUUUCAAGUAGGGCGUUCUGCAGUUUUUUAGCGCGGGAAAGGCUGAUGAACUAGUUUAGGUCAAGCCUUUUGUUAUAGCCUUUGUCCGUCGUGCUGGCCUAGGAAGGAGACUGUCACGUUUGUGCUCGUGAUGCGUACGAAAUGGUCCUAAGCCGCCCGUCUUGAAACACGGACCAAGGAGUCUAACAUAUGUGCGAGUGCUCGGGUGUAAAACCCCCACGCGAAAUAAACGUAAAGGUGAAAUUUAUUCACUUGGGCGCACUAUCGACCGACCCUGAUCCUCCGGGAGGACGGUUUGAGUGUGAGCAUACAUGUUGGGACCCGAAAGAUGGUGAACUAUGCCUGAGUAGGGCGAAG
rnacentral:rRNA from 1 species